CGCAAAGCUUCUGAAAACAGGACUUUUUCUCCAGAAAUGAUAGCGAAAGUAAAAAAAAAAAAACAAUUAUACAUUUUCUCCAGUCAAUAUCAUUGUGUAAUUUUGCGACUAAAUUAACACUUCAAAAUUCCAAAUUGUGUAAUAUUAGCAGCACAUGUAUGAAUAAGCACAAGAGUCAUAAUUUCCUGAGCCCUCCUUGUAAUUAUUAAAACAAAAAUAAAGUACAAAAUAUAUAUAAUAAUAAUAAAUGAAUAAACCUAUAUGGCACAUAUUCAAGUAGAUUGUAUUGUUUGAACUAUCAACUAAUUUUUAUUGUUAAAAACGUUCACUAAGAAAAAAAGGUACAAACUGCCAUUUGGGCGAUAAUUAUCUUUUCAAAAGCUACUGUUACAACCCACGUGGCUUAAAGCAGUGUGACAGUUAACUGGGAAGCCCUGGAAAAAGGAGCUUCUUUUUAUCCAUUUGUUGAUCACCAUAAUCCAUGGCACCUGUCAACUCCUCCCUGCAAAUGUACAACAAGACACACACAAAACAGGACAAGAGCACCACCUAACGAAAGUCAAAUACACUUACAGGAGCAGGAGCCACGCCAGGCCGUAACAACAUGUAUAUUUAAAACACAACUAUGUGCAAUUUAGGGGCAAAUUAUGCAAAAAGACAUAGAUUUUAGCUUGUGUGCUUUUUGACAUGUUUCACCUUUUUUUCUGAGAGUGUAUCAUAAAAAUCAUUCGCAAUAAAGUAGCCAAGAACUUUUUUUUUCGUUGUGUUUUUUGCCCCUCAGGGAAAUCAGGAAGUGGCCUUAGAUGAACUUAAAAUUGCUGUUUUGGUUGGUUUGCACUGCAGUAUGCAGUCUGCAGUUUGGCUGAUGAAUGGUCGGAUGCAAAACAGGAAAUAGUCUCACCCGGUCAAAGGCUGCCUUUGGCCUUUGGCAUUUAUUCAGUGUGAUGUUAGGGCAAGGGUGUGUUUAGUGUUACUCGAGUGUGCACGAGUAAAAUAAAUAAAUACAAUUCUAUGUCGCUUUUUAGAGCACACCAUAUAUUCAGGCAAUUUAAAUAUUAAAUAUGUACUCAAUUAUUAAUAAACUAAAUUAAAAGAACAUUCAAUCAAAAAUAAACUCUAAAUUAAUUUCAGUAAAAUAAAUGUAUUUGAUCAUGGUAUAAUCUCAAAAUCCAAAUCAAAUCUCAAAUUAAAGUCGGGUUUUUUUUUUUUUUUUUUUUUUUUUACUGUGGAAAGAAAUCAUAUUGAUAACCAACAGUUAUUUUCAAAAGACUUUAAAAGCAGAAGGGGCUUUCUACGUCAAACGAUAAACUAAUAUGAAAAUAAAUUCAUUGGCGCCAUCUAGUGACCGACUGUACAAACAAGUCCUUUUAAUAAAGCCCUAACCAUAUUUUAAAUCAAUCAAAAGGUUUCAAUACGCACGUCUUUUCACAUAUUUCCAUACUAAAUUUAACAAAGUGGAUUUUAAACUCUAAAACAGGGAUCUCCUGCAGAGUUUAGCUCCAACACACCUGCCUGGAAGUUUCAUGUAUACCUAGUAAGACCUUGAUUAGCUGGUUCAGGUGUGUUUAUCAUGGUUGGAGCAAAACUCUGCAGGACAGUGACCCUCCAGGCCCGAGUCUGGUGACCCCUGCUUUAAAGGGAUGGUUUACCUGGAAUCAUGUCAUGAUUUACUGAUGUCGGUCCAAAGAUGCAUUACUUGCUUUCAUCUGUGAAACAAAAAAGAGGAUAUUAUUAUAUAUUUCUGAGCCAAUGGUUGGAUUCAGCAAGAAAAAAAACAGCAUAAUUCAUAGCAUCCAAUUAAACUGUUGGAAUGGGAAAGGUAUCACCCAUUGUUCCUAAUUCUAAGCAUCCUAAACCUGAAAUGAUAAUGAUGAACUGAUAACAAAAACAAAAUACAGUAGUGCUCUGGCUAUUGUUAAUCUACUGACAAAUAAGACGAAAAAGAAAAAAAAAAUCACAUCAGAAUCAUCAGACAAUGCAGUUUAGCUGUACAGUGCUUUCAUGUGACACAGGCAUGUCAUUGUCACAUCACAGAUUUCCUGUUACCACCGAACAACCUGUUGCAUAGAAAUACGAAAAAGUCUAUAUCUUUAAAAUGAUUAUUAUUAUAUCUGCAUGCAAAUAUAUGCAAAGGUUUAACCUUUGGCCACCACAGACUUUGCAUGAAAAAGAAUGUCUGUAAGUUCCAGGUGAGGCCUUCAUCCUUUCUGAAUAUGUACGGCACAGGAAGUGAGACCAUAACAGAUGUGUGAAAAAACUCUCGCUGUCUGACAUGUAAAUAGUUUCAGGUUUUGAUAGGAACUACAAUACUGCAGGAAGCCGCUGAUCUCUGAGCAGCUCUGAGGUAAGUCAGGCGAGACCAAUCUAAAUGAUAAAUAAAACUGGAUAGUGAUCGUACCCACCCAAAAUAACAAUACAGGACUGGCAAGUAGCAUUUCAGCAUUUCUGGGGAAAUGUUCAUCACAUUAAAUAGACAAGUUUUUUUGAAAAACUGGGAGUUAAAUGAUGCUGUAUCUAAUAAGCAACAGAAAAUGGCAUUUGAUCCCUCGCUCAUGUAAAAGAUCAUUGUUUUUUUUACAUUUAUAGACAGAGAUAUGCUAUUCCAUGAUGUCGUAUUUGCUGCGGUCUUCUUUGCUUUUUACUCCUCAGGGAAGUCUCACACUCAAAACUGGGUAAAGCAGUGGCCAGGUGAGGUUUACAGGACACCCGGAGAAAACAUCACCAUUCACUGCCAGACGCAAGGAGACAUCCAGGAGGCUAGGUGUUUAGUAAACUGGUACAUCAAGAACAGACAUGGGAAAUAUGUCAGCAUCAACAAACUCACUCAGUUUAGCGGGAGACAUUCUGAAGACAAAAAAGAAAGCCACUGGCGCCAGAGCUUUACUCUGACGUCCCUAGAGUUCAACGACACUGGCAGAUUCUACUGUAAUUACUUGUGCAGAAUUAAUGGCACACAUGAGCAAUACUAUGGGACUGGGACUCGACUUUUUGUACAUUUGAGGACUGAAAAUGUGACUAAAGGCAGCCCACUGAGUACCUUCAAUAAGACAGGUGAAGUGGAGAGUGAAUCCAGAGUAUACUUGUUUUUCCUUUUUCUUGUUUUAAUUGUUUUAUUGUCUAAAUUUGUUGUAUUUAUAUUUAUGACGUCGGUUGCACUUUUUUCUCCUCAUUAAAUGUAACCCCUUCUGUUU